rnacentral:lncRNA from 1 species
AGAGACUAGCGUUGAUCGUCGGCUGUAACGGUGGGCCAAGAACCAGCACUGGAUUCAAAACCACCAGGUCAACACCUUUCUCCUCUGCCGUUUCCCACGCGGCUUGCUCCGCCACCAUCUUGCCGUAACAAUACCAAUUCUAUAAAACACAUAAAACAUUUAGUAGACCAAAUAUAAAAAACUAACUAUUUAAUUUGAGUUAGACAUCAAAGUAUUUUAGUUUUAGUUUUCAUGUUUGUUAAGUGCAAAAGCAUAUAUGAUUGAAGCCUUGGAUAUUUCAAGCAUAGAAUUGUAGAAAGUGUUAUUUACAAUAAACUAUUAACUUUUUUAUUAUUUUCACACCAAAUCUUAAUUGGUAAAUUAUAGGAAUAAAGUCAAGACCUUGGUGUUUUUGCAGAACUCAAGAUCACUCCAACAACUUUCGUCAACGACGGCUUCAGGGUCACGGUUCGGGUCCAUGUAAACCGCACCAAUUGACGAGGUGAUGACCACGCGCUUCACCUUGGCUUCAGCUGCAGCAUUAAUUACAAACUUGGCUCCGUU